CUGGACAGGUUUUGUUAAAUCUCCCCCAAUAUAGAACCGAUUUUCAGAAUUAGAGAUGUUUGCCAUAAGUUUUUACAUAUGAAUAUACCAUAAGGCAGUGUUUCCUAACUAGUGUGCCUUCAGCUGUUGUAAAACUACAACUCCCAGCAUACCUGGACAGCCUUUGGCAAUACUACUAUUUACUACUUCCUGUGCAUACCAGUGCUACUAUAUACAAGAUUAAUCAACCAUGGCAAAUCUGCCUCCAGCACUGGGCUUUCCUAGCAAUAAAUGUUGGUGACUCCAAGUGCCAAUAUCCCUUGAAGUUUGGAUAGUCUUCAGAGGACCAAUGAAAAGAAGAAAAAGGCUAUAGCAAGUUAGGCUUAUAAGGAGCCAUGUGAGAGCUCUGCAAGAGACCACUGAGCCUCUCAGGGAACGCUCCCAGCCUGGGCAGAGGACAUGCAUGUUGAGGCCUGUGGGAACCAAAAGAGAGAACCAAGACUAGUAUGAAACACAUAUGUUGUUUAGUUAAAGGCCAGAUGGUCAGGAUUUAUUUUUAAACUAUGUGAAAUAUGCACUGUUUGCUGUGUUUUUAAAGACAAAAGCUGGUUUUGGCUAUGCUGAAGUACAUAAGGUCAUACAUAAGGUUGUACAUAAAAGUCCCCAAAGUACUGCUGCAUUAAUAACCAAAAACCAGGAA